rnacentral:rRNA from 1 species
AAUAGAUACCCUGGUAGUCCACCCCGUAAACGUUGGGAACUAGUUGUGGGGUCCUUUCCACGGAUUCCGUGACGCAGCUAACGCAUUAAGUUCCCCGCCUGGGGAGUACGGCCGCAAGGCUAAAACUCAAAGGAAUUGACGGGGACCCGCACAAGCGGCGGAGCAUGCGGAUUAAUUCGAUGCAACGCGAAGAACCUUACCAAGGCUUGACAUACACCGGAAACGGCCAGAGAUGGUCGCCCCGCAAGGUCGGUGUACAGGUGGUGCAUGGUUGUCGUCAGCUCGUGUCGUGAGAUGUUGGGUUAAGUCCCGCAACGAGCGCAACCCUCGUUCUAUGUUGCCAGCACGUAAUGGUGGGAACUCAUGGGAUACUGCCGGGGUCAACUCGGAGGAAGGUGGGGAUGACGUCAAAUCAUCAUGCCCCUUAUGUCUUGGGCUUCACGCAUGCUACAAUGGCCGGUACAAAGGGCUGCAAUACCGUGAGGUGGAGCGAAUCCCAAAAAGCCGGUCCCAGUUCGGAUUGAGGUCUGCAACUCGACCUCA